GCCAUACGCCAUUUUUCUGAUGGCUACAAGACAUCACGUCAGCGCCACCAGUCACAAAUUCCCUGGGGCAUAAGACCUUCUAAUUUUAGAAGCAGUUGAGCAAAGCAUCUUGCACAGGAUGAUGCACUCAUUAUUUCAUUCUCCUCAGGUGAAAGUGAUCUCCGGGGUGGCCUCCUUGGCAGAGAUAGGUCUCCAGUUACUUUGCGAAGGACCCGCACCUCCCCGCCCCCCACCUCCGCAAUCUGCUGUUGUGUCCUCAUGUACCAAUCUCCCCAGGAACCGCUUACCUUACCACCAUUUUCCUGUCUGUUCAUGAGAACUAAGACCCUCCUGCGGGUGAAACAAAUUCAAAAGCAGCAACCAGUCUCUUCAAUGGAUCAAGUUGAGAGUCAUGACUUCCUGGAGGUUCAGGGUUGUCUUGAACUGAAAACCACAGCCACAGAAAGAUAGAGAAAAUGAAAAAGCAGAGGACUUUGUACCAGAUGAAGGGACAGGAUAAAGCCCCAGAAAAACAACUAAAUGAAGAGGAGAUAGGCACCCUUCCAGAAAAAGAAUUCAGGAUAAUGAUAGUGAAGAUGAGCCAGGACUUUGAAAAGAGACUGGAUGGAAAGAUCUAAAAAUUUACCAAAGACCUAGAAGAAUUAAAGAGCAAACAAACAGAGAUAUGCAACACAAUAACGGAAAUGAAAAAUACACUAGAAGGAACCAAUAGCAGAUUAAUGGAGGCAGAAGGGCGAAUAAGUGACCUGGAAGACAGAAUGGUGAUCAUCACUGAUGCGGAAAAGAAUAAAGAAAAAAGAAUGAAAAGAACUAAAGACAGCCUAAGAGACCUCUGGGACAAUGUUAAACGCACCAACAUUCGCAUUAUAGGGGUCCCAGGAGGAGACGAGAGAUAGGACCCAAGAAAAUACUGGAAGAGAUUAUAGUUGAAAACUUCCCUAACAUGGGAAAGGAAAUAGCUACCCAAGUCCAGGAAGCGCAGAGAGUCCCAGGCAGGAUAAAUCCAAGGAGAAACUCGCCAAGACAUAUAGUAGUCAAGCUGACAAAAAUUAAAGACAGAGAAAUGUUAUUAAAAGCAACAAGGGAAAAACAACAAAUAACAUACAAGGGAACUCCCAUCAGGUUAACAGCUGAUUUCUCAGCAGAAACUCUGCAAGCCAGAAGGGAGUGGCAUGAUAUAUUUAAAGUGAUGAAAGGGAAGAACCUACAACCAAGAAUACUCUACCCAGCAAGGAUCUCAUUCAGAUUCCACAGAGAAAUCAAAAGCUUUCCAGACAAGCAACAGCUAAGAGAAUUCAGCACCACCAAACCAGCCCUACAACAAAUGCUAGAGGAACUUCUCUAAGCGGGAAACAUAAGAGAAGAGAAGGACCUACAAAAACAAAAACAAAACAAUUAAGAUAAUGGUAAUAGGAACAUACAUAUUGAUAAUUACCUUGAAUGUAAAUGGACUAAAUGCACCAACCAGAAGACACAGACUGGCUGAAUGGAUACAAAAACAAGAGCCAUAUAUAUGCUGUCUACAAGAGACCGACUUCAGACCUAGGCACACAUACAGACGGAAAGUGAGGGGAUGGAAAAAGAUAUUCCAUACAAAUGAAAAUCAAAAGAAAGCUGAGUAGCAAUACUCAUAUCAGAUAAAAUAGACUUUAAAAUAAAAAAUGUUACAAGAGACAAGAAAGGAUAUUACACAAAGAUCAAGGGAUCCAUCCAAGAAGAGGAGAUAACAAUUAUAAAUAUAUAUGCACCCAAUAUAGGAGCACCUCAAUACAUAAGGCAAAUGCUAACAACUGUGAAAGAGGAAAUGCAAGGCAGAAAUAGAGACACAGGUGUAGAGAACAAACACAUGGACACCA